AAUUAUUUCCUUUACUUUUCUGUCGGUGUCUUCUCUUCCCUAUCUUAUUAACUUUUCAUAUUCCUCUUCUUCUUCUUCGAUUAAGAUCUCCUACAAAUUAAAAUAUUUAUCAAUACAAACGAUUGAUCAAAGAAUCUGUCUGCGGAAAAUCAAUCUAUUUGAUUCAGGAUCUACAUCUAUCAUACAUCAGAUAAUACUAACUGCUGCUAAUUAAAGUGAUAGGAGAAUAGAAGGAACUUGUGGUUCUACAAUAAGAGAGCCUUAAAGAUAAGACCACAUCUCUAUCUUGAUGCUUUAUAUAAUCGUUAAGCUAUAAAUGCAAUUUUAGCUAGAGUGUUACUAACUGUUUUAAGAAAUAGAUGCUUAAUUGUCUAGCUUAAUGAUUAAUCAUAAUAUAAUCAAAGAAAUUCUUUGGAUAUGGAACAAUACGACUUAUAUCUUUCAUUCUUAGUUAUAAUUGUUGUUAGUAUGAUUUAUACGACAAAUUUGUUUCAGGUACGUGGUUAAUUGACCAGAAACUAAGAAUGUAACCACAAUCAUCAAAGAAUUAUACCUUGGCCAGUACAUUCAAAUAACAAAUACUAAGGUUCAACAUCCACAAAGAGAUUCCCUUGAGAACUCCUUUGAAUACCAGAAGAUACAGGUAUGUUUUUAAGAUCACCCAAAAUCCGCUUAAAAACUGAUCUUAAUGGUAUUGAAUGUUGAAUAGAAUUCCGAUUUGAAUGCUGUAAACCAUUACUUCCCUGAUUAGUAGCAUUACUUGUAUUAUCCAUUGAUAGAUGGCCAUUUUCCUUGUGGAAUUGGGUCAAACCAUUAUAUUGUCUCUCUCUCAUUGUGACCUGCUAAUCAAACAAACAUAUAAGUAUUAUGUUAUUGAGAAAGAGUCAUAGAUGUCGA